UACAGAGGUCUCAAGCGUUGUUCGGAUUCAUUGGGCGUAAAGGGUGCGUAGGUGGCAUGGUAAGUCGGAUGUGAAAUCCCGGGGCUCAACCCCGGAACUGCAUUCGAUACUGCUGAGCUAGAGUACUGGAGAGGAGAUUGGAAUUUACGGUGUAGCAGUGAAAUGCGUAGAUAUCGUAAGGAAGACCAGUGGCGAAGGCGGAUCUCUGGACAGUUACUGACACUGAGGCACGAAGGCCAGGGGAGCAAACCGGG
rnacentral:rRNA from 1 species